AUUGGCAACGUGAGAGAAAGAGUCGAUGUCUGGUAGUUCAGAGCCAUAGUUUCAUAAACGUACAGGACAUGCAGCGAACUUCCCCCAAAGAGGUACAACUCCCCCACCAAACCUCCGCGCAGCGCGCCAAGCCUCGCUGCUACGGGAAGCCAAACGGGUCAAAAGGCUGUAAGUCGCCAACACGCGAAACAGAGGGCGCAUGAAGAGGAGAGAAGGGAGGGAGGAGAAUGGUCUUUUAAAAACUGCCUCACUGCACUAAUGUUCCUGAAAUCUGAACCCUUAUUGGAUCUGAAGGGCAUUAUAAGACAAGCACCCUCCAGCCUCUACCCCUGUUUAAAGGUGAGGACUAAAGGCCAAUUGACCAACCCUCCGACAAACCGGCCACCGGCCCACCCGGACGGCUCCCUCGCAACCAGGCUUGUUACUGCGAUUUAGCCAGGCGCAGCUAGCUGCCUCAUGGCCUCUGACAUUUGCGUGGAAAAAAAAAAAAAAAAAAAGAGGAUGUGCUCAACUUUCCUGUUCUACACCUGCGAUCACACUCUGGGGUCUCGAGAAAAACCCCUUGGAAUCAGUCAAGACCGUUCACUCCUGUUAUAUGCAGGGAACACAGCAACCUCUUCUGGUCAAAAGUGAAAGCAGCAGAGAGU